rnacentral:tmRNA from 1 species
GGGGCUGACAGGAAUCGACAGUAGAGUGUAUCAUGUCAGUAAGCAUGCCGGGGAAUGGUGGUUUACCCCGUUAUCAAAUGAUUACCGACCAAUAAUUGGCGAAACUCGUUUCGCGUUGGCUGCCUAAUUCAAGGAAUUAGCGUGCCUUCAUGCUAAGGGUUUGAUAUCUGCUAAAACCCGGUGCAUUCAUCAAUGCAGGUUAAGCCAAAGGGAUGUCCCGACCGGAGGCCGACAAUCCAGGGAACCGGAUGUCAUCACGUUGUUGCAGUACCAGAUGGCAUCUUAAAUCCGAUCUGCAAAUAAGCAUGUAGAAAGCUGAUGUGGGCUUUAGCUGGACGGGGGUUCAAUUCCCCCCGGCUCCACCA